AGUACGCAAGGAAUGGUCUCAGCGAUGCUCGACUAUAUCGGCCCCAUCGACGUAAUCAACUUCUGGCUGCUGCAAAGAAGGAAAACAAAAGGUUUAGGGAUUAACAAGGUGCCGCGAAAGUGGCGUGCCUUUUCAUAUUCAUGUGCCAUGUGGGUGCACAGCCCCUGGUAUAUU
rnacentral:rRNA from 1 species